AUUGAACGCUGGCGGCAGGCCUAACACAUGCAAGUCGAGCGGUAGAGAGAAGCUUGCUUCUCUUGAGAGCGGCGGACGGGUGAGUAAUGCCUAGGAAUCUGCCUGGUAGCGGGGGGUAACGUUCGGAAACGGACGCUAAUACCGCAUACGUCCGACGGGAGAAAGCAGGGGACCUUCGGGCCUUGCGCUAUCAGAUGAGCCUAGGUCGGAUUAGCUGGUUGGUGAGGUAAUGGCUCACCAAGGCGACGAUCCGUAACUGGUCUGAGAGGAUGACCAGUCCAACUGGAACUGAGGCACGGUCCGGCCCCCGACGGGAGGAAGCAGUGGGGAAUAUUGGACAAUGGGCGAAAGCCUGAUCCAGCCAUGCCGCGGGUGGGAAGAAGGUCUUCGGAUUGUAAAGCACGUUAAGUUGGGAGGAAGGGCAGUUACCUAAUACGUGAUUGUUUUGACGUUACCGACAGAAUAAGCACCGGCUAACUCUGUGCCAGCCGCCGCCGUAAAAC
rnacentral:rRNA from 1 species